rnacentral:lncRNA from 1 species
CAUGAAGGCGUAUUUCCCGUAUCCGAAUCCGAGGAUAUCUGAAGUGUUCUUAAUCUUCGUUUCGGUAGGGAGACGAAAUAAGUCUUUUGAGAGCUCGAAAAUGGAGUCGCGCAGAACAGAAGGGAUUUUGUUGGUGAAGAGCACGAAACAACCGUAGUCUUCGAGGGCUCGACGGACUGCGUCAGAUGUUGGUCGCCAGGCGCCAUUGCUGGGGUUUAGGGUUUCUCCGUUGAAGGUAAUGACAGGAAGCUUAUUCAGUUUGGGAGCCAUUGUUCUUUUUACUCUGUCAAUAACACACUGGUUAUACAAGUGUAAACUUUCUUAUACGGAGUAUUUGAUAAAGUGUUUAUGUUUUUUAAUGAAAAUUUUAACGGAUUUAUGUUUUUUAAUGAAAUUUUUAAUAAAGAUUUAAUAAAAAGGUUGAGAAAUAUAAUUUUAUAUCAUAUACUAGUAAUUUAAUAUGUGUUUAAAGGGAUUUACUCUCUAAAGCAAAAUUAGAAAAAUCCAUUGAAAGAUAAAACUGAUUUUAUUUAAUGAAAUAAGUGUGAAUCCUAUCUUGUUUAUUGGUGCAUGCUUAACUCGUCUCAGGAACAAUGUUAAGAGUAAAUUGAGGAAUAUUAUAAUAUUUUGGCAUGGAUGAUUUGAAUUUUAAAAAUUUAUAGUAAGAGUUUUCAAGAUUACUAUUAGACACUAAAAUUUUAUACACGACACCGUUAACAUGAACGAACAAGACAUGAGUUUUCCAUUUAUGUGUUUUAGAAAUUUGUGUUUUGUGUCUAUUCGUUUCAACACAAAUUUAAAAUGUGUGUUUCGUGUCUUAUGUGUAGGGAUGAGCAUAUGGAUCGGGAAACCGGCUGGAACCGGUACCGGAACCGGAACCGGCACCGGAACCGGAACCCGAUGGAACCGGUCGGGCCGGGACCGGUACGUUAUUUUUGUGGAUUUUUGGAACCGGAAACCGGUGGAAACCGGAACCGAUUUAACCGGAACCGGUAGAACCGACAAAAACCGGUAGAACCGGCAAAAACCGGAACCGUAUGAUGCUAUUUUUCAAGGAGCGGUUCCAACAUUUGAAGACAUGACAAGAACCGGUAGGAACUGGGAACCGGUAGAACCGGAACCGGUAGAACCGCCGGGGCGGUUCGGUUCUUGAUUUUGGCCGAAGCCGGUUCCCCGGUCCGGUCCGGUUCGGGCCGGUUCCGGCCGGUUCGGUCCUUUUGCUCAUCCCUACUUAUGUGUGUCAAACACGAAUUACUUGUUUAAAUACAUCAUCUUUAAUAAAUGAAGUUUUUUUGACACUUGUCAAAUUCUCAAGAAUUUUGCC